GACGAACGCUGGCGGCGUGCUUAACACAUGCAAGUCGAACGGAAAGGCCCUGCUUUUGUGGGGUGCUCGAGUGGCGAACGGGUGAGUAACACGUGAGUAACCUGCCCUUGACUUUGGGAUAACUUUAGGAAACUGGGGCUAUUACCGGAUAGGAGCUCCUGCUGCAUGGUGGGGGUUGGAAAGUUUCGGCGGUUGGGGAUGGAUUCGCGGCUUAUCCGCUUGUUGGUGGGGUAGUGGCUUACCAAGGCUUUGACGGGUAGCCGGCCUGAGAGGGUGACCGGCCACAUUGGGACUGAGAUACGGCCCAGACUCCUACGGGAGGCAGCAGUGGGGAAUAUUGCACAAUGGGCGGAAGCCUGAUGCAGCAACGCCGCGUGCGGGAUGACGGCCUUCGGGUUGUAAACCGCUUUCGCCUGUGACGAAGCGUGAGUGACGGUAAUGGGUAAAGAAGCACCGGCUAACUACGUG
rnacentral:rRNA from 1 species